ACGGCUCAGUAACACGUGGACAACCUUACCCUCAGAUCUGGGAUAAACCUGGGAAACUGGGUAUAAUACCGGAUAGGUCUUGGAUGCUGGAAUGCACCGAGGCCCAAAGCUCCGGCGUCUGAGGGAUGGGUCUGCGGCCUAUCAGGGUAGUAGUGGGUGUAAAGUACCUACUAGCCUACGACGGGUACGGGUCGUGAGAGCGAGAGCCCGGAGAUGGAUUCUGAGACACGAAUCCAGGCCCUACGGGGUGCAGCAGGCGCGAAAACUUUACAAUGCCGGCAACGGCGAUAAGGGGACCUCGAGUGCCAGGAUACAAUCCUGGCUGUCGUAAUGCCUAAAAAGCAUUAUAUAGCAAGGGCCGGGCAAGACCGGUGCCAGCCGCCGCGGUAACACCGGCGGCUCGAGUGGUAACCGCUAUUAUUGGGUCUAAAGGGUCUGUAGCCGGCCUGGUAAGUCUUUUGGGAAAUCCGGCAGCUCAACUGUCGGGCUAUCAGAGGAUACUGCUAGGCUCGAGACCGGGAGAGGUGAGAGGUACUUCAUGGGUAGGGGUGAAAUCUUGUAAUCCUUGAAGGACCACCAGUGGCGAAGGCGUCUCACCAGAACGGAUCUGACGGCAAGGGACGAAAGCUAGGGGCACGAACCGGAUUAGAUACCCGGGUAGUCCUAGCCGUAAACGAUACUCGCUAGGUGUCGGCCACGGUGCGACCGUGGUCGGUGCCGUAGGGAAGCCGUGAAGCGAGCCACCUGGGAAGUACGGCCGCAAGGCUGAAACUUAAAGGAAUUGGCGGGGGAGCAC
rnacentral:rRNA from 1 species